GAUGAACGCUGGCGGCGUGCCCAAUACAUGCAAGUCGAGCGAAUGGAUUAAGAGCUUGCUCUUAUGAAGUUAGCGGCGGACGGGUGAGUAACACGUGGGUAACCUGCCCAUAAGACUGGGAUAACUCCGGGAAACCGGGGCUAAUACCGGAUAACAUUUUGAACCGCAUGGUUCGAAAUUGAAAGGCGGCUUCGGCUGUCACUUAUGGAUGGACCCGCGUCGCAUUAGCUAGUUGGUGAGGUAACGGCUCACCAAGGCAACGAUGCGUAGCCGACCUGAGAGGGUGAUCGGCCACACUGGGACUGAGACACGGCCCAGACUCCUACGGGAGGCAGCAGUAGGGAAUCUUCCGCAAUGGACGAAAGUCUGACGGAGCAACGCCGCGUGAGUGACGAAGGCUUUCGGGUCGUAAAACUCUGUUGUUAGGGAAGAACAAGUGCUAGUUGAAUGAGCUGGCACCUUGACGGUACCUAACCAGAAAGCCACGGCUAACUACGUGCCAGCCGCCGCGGUAA
rnacentral:rRNA from 1 species